AGGGAUUCGCCGAUGAAAGUGGCGUAGCGCUCGAUCUCAGUGGCGAGGGCUUGGACGACCCACCUCUUGAGAUGGAAGCGCAGAUAUCUGAGGAUGGCGCGACUGGGGAGGAAGGUGCAGCUCAUGCAGGCUGGAUAAUGGAGCAUAGCGAGUUCAGGACCAGCGUUCCCAUUUUGGACGAGUUGCGCUCAGCGCUCUUGUAAUAAUCCAGGGAGCUCUGAGUGAGGACGAACCAGCGCUUCUUCAGCUUCAGGGAGGUGCUCUUGGCGUUGGUCUUCACCUCCUUUUGGAGCCAACCUUGAAAAUCGACGACAUUGAGGAGAUAAGGAAGAGAUGCAUAUCCAAAAAUACCGGCACAGUUUAAAAGCAAUUAAAGGGAUGCGUUACCUCGAACGAGGAACUCCUGGCCAUCAAUCCGGGCAUCUCCUUUGGGUUUCUGCAGCAGACUGAUCCAGUGGUGCAUCUCCUCGGGCGUGUCGCUGUUGCAGUGGAUCACACGGUUGGCCGUGAUGAUCACAAAGGAGUUGGGCCUGAACAGAGCACAAAAAUCCACUUUCAUGUAUUUGAUUUAUUAUACCUUUAACUCAUUCAAUCCCAGCCAUUUCCCAGCCUCUCGGUACCAGCCAUUUUUGAUGAU